CGAGAUCUCUCAAACACUGGACCACCAAACAGGCAGCAUACACCAGCUGAUAUGAGGCCGCCAGCACACAUACAGUAGAGGAUUGCCGGGUCUGUAUUCAUUCAGAGACUAAUGAGCCAGUGUGGUCGGGAUUCCAAUCCAGUGCCUACCAGACAAUGUGAUCAGCAAAAGAAAGUUAAGAGCAGUGUGGAAUGAAGAUGGCCCUUGUCACUGAGUCGUGAUGUCUGAAGACACCUGCAAUGAUUCAAAGGGGCUUAGAGAGUCAUCCUGGAGCUCUGGAAGUGGAACAAGACACUAUCUCAACUCUAAUUAUAUGUUCCAUCAUCCAUAUGUCUUGAACCCAACCAAAGGACAAAAGCUGCUGAUCCCUGUGUUGAAUUAGGGGAAAACUGGAAGAAGCUGAGGAGGAGGGCAACCCUGUAAGAGGACCAGCAGUCUCAACUAACCUGGAUUCCCAAGAU
ensembl:antisense Gm15962 predicted gene 15962